rnacentral:siRNA from 1 species
UCGUUGCUAGUUGUCUAUUGC